UACGAGGGGGGCGAGCGUUGUUCGGAAUUAUUGGGCGUAAAGGGUGCGUAGGCGGUUUGGUAAGUCUGAUGUGAAAUCUAUGGGCUCAACUCAUAGUCUGCAUCGGAAACUGCUGGGCUUGAGUGUGGGAGAGGUGAGUGGAAUUCCUGGUGUAGCGGUGAAAUGCGUAGAUAUCAGGAGGAACACCUGUGGUGUAGACAGCUUACUGGACCACUUCUGACGCUGAGACUCGAAAGCGUGGGUAGCAAACAGG
rnacentral:rRNA from 1 species